rfam:Gasterosteus aculeatus cont1.006864, whole genome shotgun sequence.
CUUGCUGAUGACUGUCAGUCGCUUUGGAUAAAAGCGUCAGCUAAAUGACAUGUA